GGAGGCCUUCAACACACUGAAAGCGCAGCAGGAGCUGAGCCUUAUUGCCUCUGAACCAGACGAAAGCCACCUUUUCCGAGUGAACAACUAUUCAGCCUUAAAUGUCCUGCUGUCCACCCUGCAGCAGAAGAUUGGUAUAGAAGGUACAGCUGGAGGCAUCCUGCAAUUUGAGCUGGCCCAGAGCGGUUUUAGUGUCCACCUCCUGGAUCAGAACCAACUCCUGUUUGGUGCCGUGGGAGCCUUUGACUGGUCCGGAGGAGUUCUUCACUAUGACAUCCCAAGCGAGACAGCCGUCUUCUUGAACGAGUCCACGGAGGAUGCCGGUUCAAGGAAUGGCUAUUUAGG